rnacentral:rRNA from 1 species
GAUGAACGCUAGCGGCAGGCUUAAUACAUGCAAGUCGUGGGGCAGCAUGAGUAGCAAUACUUGAUGGCGACCGGCAAACGGGUGCGGAACACGUACACAACCUUCCGUCAAGCGGGGAAUAGCCCAGAGAAAUUUGGAUUAAUACCCCAUAAUAUAUUUGAUAAGGCAUCUUAUUAAUAUUAAAGCUUCGGCACUUGAUGAUGGGUGUGCGGCUGAUUAGAUAGUUGGGUGAGGUAACGGCUCACCAAGUCUACGAUCAGUAGCUGAUGUGAGAGCAUGAUCAGCCACACGGGCACUGAGACACGGGCCCGACUCCUACGGGAGGCAGCAGUAAGGAAUAUUGGGCAAUGGACGCAAGUCUGAUCCAGCCAUGCCGCGUGAAGGAUUAAGGUCCUCUGGAUUGUAAACUUCUUUUAUAGGGGACGAAAAAAGGGCAUUCUUGCUCACUUGACGGUACCCUAUGAAUAAGCACCGGCUAACUCCGUGCCAGCAGCCGCGGUAAUACGGAGGGUGCAAGCGUUAUCCGGAUUCACUGGGUUUAAAGGGUGCGUAGGCGGGUAGGUAAGUCAGUGGUGAAAUCUCAGAGCUUAACUCUGAAACUGCCAUUGAUACUAUCUAUCUUGAAUAUUGUGGAGGUUUGCGGAAUAUGUCAUGUAGCGGUGAAAUGCUUAGAUAUGACAUAGAACACCUAUUGCGAAGGCAGCAGGCUACACAUAUAUUGACGCUGAG